AUCGUUUCGAGCCGCUCUAGUUACAUGUGAUGCUAGAGGGUAACGAAACGACA
ensembl:miRNA gmo-mir-11252 gmo-mir-11252